rnacentral:rRNA from 1 species
UACGGAGGGGGCUAGCGUUGUUCGGAAUUACUGGGCGUAAAGCGCACGUAGGCGGCUGUUCAAGUCAGAGGUGAAAGCCUGGAGCUCAACUCCAGAACUGCCUUUGAAACUAGACAGCUGGAAUCAUGGAGAGGGAAGCGGAAUUCCGGGUGUAGCGGUGAAAUGCGUAGAUAUCCGGAGGAACACCGGUGGCGAAGGCGGCUUCCUGGACCGACACUGACGCUGAGGCGCGAAAGCUAGGGGAGCAAACGGG